UCUUUUUUCUUCCUGCUGGCCCUCUAUAUUCUCCCUAACCCUAGCUAAUUUUUUUUGGUAAAGAUUGAACCUUUAACACCACCACUUCUCUCGGAUGCAGCCUCCAUCUUCAAGCCUCAAUGAUUGGAUAGACCCAACACUUUAUCCUUGUCUCAUUACAUUUCUCUCUGGUUAGACACAUUAUAAGCUAUUUUAUAUUAGAAAAUCCUAAGUACACAUUAUAUUGGCCUUCUUUGGAACAUAUUGCUAAUCGAUUUUGGCUCCACAUGCCUCUGAGCAUUCCCAAGCCUUAGAACUGUUCUACUAAGAUUUGGAGAAAUGGUCUUGCUUCUCUCUGUUUGGUCAGAAAGUAAGCAACAAGGUCAAUAGGUCAUCUUUGGAUCAUGUUGAUUUGUAGUUGAAGCUUCCAGUUAAGGCUAUUAAGGUAACCCAAUUUUUUUUUUCUAGUCUCACGCAAUAUCUUUAUAUAUUUUAUUUUUUUCUUACAAAUGCAGACAAUUUAUUUGGUACAAUUUGUC